rnacentral:rRNA from 1 species
CCUACGGGUGGCAGCAGUCGAGGAUCAUUCACAAUGGGGGAAACCCUGAUGGUGCGACGCCGCGUGGGGGAAUGAAGGCCUUCGGAUUGUAAACCCCAGUCAUGUGGGAGCAAAUUAAAAAGAUAUGACUACAAAAGGAAGAGACGGCUAACUCUGUGCCAGCAGCCGCGGUAAUACAGAGGUCUCAAGCGUUGUUCGGAAUCACUGGGCGUAAGGCGUGCGUAGGCUGUUUCGUAAGUCGUGUGUGAAAGGCGCGGGCUCAACCCGCGGACGGCACAUGAUACUGCGAGACUAGAGUAAUGGAGGGGGAGCCGGAAUUCUCGGUGUAGCAGUGAAAUGCGUAGAUAUCGAGAGGAACACUCGUGGCGAAGGCGGGUUGCUGGACAUUAACUGACGCUGAGGCACGAAGGCCAGGGGAGCGAAAGGGAUUAGAUACCCUGGUAGUC